rnacentral:lncRNA from 1 species
CGAGGCGCAGCUCGCGGACAGCUGUUCGCGUAAGACUCUGCUAACGGCCUUUGUGUUCCGUUCUUUUUCCUUUUUAUUUUUCAUUUUAAGUGGGGCAGCUGUAUUCAUUCUCUCCGAUCGCCCCCAUCCUUGCCUUCGGCGGGAUUCAGAAGUCAGUUUAUUUUACAGAUUUUAUCAUUACUGCAGGCGCGCGCGCGGGUUGUGUGUGUGUGGGGGGGGUUCCAUGUAAUUUAAUGUGGAACUUUUGAAACCUGCACACACGUGAACCGUAAGAGAAAGCUGCAGAGAUGCUGAGACAUUUACACACGCACGUGCACACACACUCCUCCGCGUCCGGGUCCCGGCCAGACCAUCGAAAGGUACGGCCCUUGCACCAGGGUCGUUUGGAAAUUGACAGAAAUCUCAUCAACAGGAUCAAUUUCUUAGGCAGUAAAAAAAAUAAUAACAGCCUUAAACCCGAGAGCCCUGGUGAACAGUUCCAUCAGGCCGCAGUCACAGCACGCGGAGAGACUCCCGUCGGGCGCGGUCCGCGCUCCGCCUGGCGCUCUGUGUGCGCUAAGUGUCCGAGCAGCCCCGCUGCCCCACGCCGGACUUCGCGAGCGACCUUAACGGUGGCGCAACGCAGCCUUCGGCCACCAGAGGCAACCGGCGUCAGCGGCUAGUCAAAAACUGGCGCUUUUUUCCUGCUUUCCGUGUAGAGACUAUCAACUCCAUCUGUCACAAAAUCAAGGCUAAAUCUCCCCAGAGGCGGAGGGAGCCGGGCUCCCGCGCGCUCAGAGCUGGGCUGGUUGCUCUCCCCCAAGGCCGAGGGGGUCUGGGAGGGCGGGAGUCAGAGCCGCAGCCACGGGGGUGUGUUGCUGCAGAAAGUGCCCCGUGCGUACGGAGGUGCCCAGCCUCGGGGCGCCAGGGCAGCGGGAACCCGGGCUCUGCGAGCUGCAGCGCAAAGCCGAACCUCGCAGAGCCAGGCUGAGAAAUGACAGAUGGAAAAGAUAAUGUAGUCCUUGGCCAGAGCCACCUUGAGAAUCGCUGUGCUAUAUAUACUUGCAAAAAGAAGUGUGAACACAGUUACUUCGUUUGGCUUUGGAGAGAGCUAAGUAAAGACAACAGUCAUAACAGUAACUAUCAACAACAGCGAAAAUACAUGAACAAGCUGGGAUGAAGUGUGUGUCUGGUUAAUACUUCUUAAACUGGGAGAACCAUUAGAAUAACAGAUCUUUAAUGCUGAAAAUUUAUGUCAUGAAAUGUUUUGGGAAAAGAAUUAUGAUCUUAUUGAUUGAAAAAGAUUACAAACCAUCUAAUUCUUUUUAAUGAAAUGUGUAUCCCAGGACUUUAUCAAACAUAUAAUUGGGGAGUUCACAUUCUUAUUUUUAAUCUGCUUUUGUAUUUACCUGCUCAUUUUUCACUGACUUUGGUUCAAUCUAAUCCAAGAAUUCCUUCUACAUGUGCCUGAAAAUGAGUUAUGAAUGAAACGAUUCCAUUUAACUAGGUUAAAACAGAAAACCAAAGAGUUAAUAUAAUGUAGAUUGUAGGCUUUAGUCUAUAAUAGUAUAUCAGUAGUGGUUAUCAGUUGUAACAAAUGCAGCUGGGCAUGGUGGAGCAUGCCUGUCAUCCCAGCCUUCAGGAGGCUGAGGCAGGAGAAUUGCUGACCUUGAACUCACAGCAAACCCUGUUUCAAGAAACAAAAAAUUGUUACAAAUGCAUCUCAUUAAUCAAAUACAAAAUAUACAUUAAGGAAACAGGGAGGACUAUGGGGUUAGGUUGGAAUACUCUGUACUUUCUAAUCUUUCAAUUUAGAGCUUUAUCAUUUAAAGUUUUCAGUUUUAAUAUUCCUUUUUUGCCCAUUAAAAAAUAAGGUAAAUCCAGGUGUGCUGUUUGAAACCAAAAGUUGGUCUCUCUGUGGUAUACAUCUCCCCAAGUGAUUAACUACAUAUAUUUACAUAGUCAUUUUUUGAAUUCACUUACCCACCCCAGAAAUAGUUGAGUGUCCACCUUGGGUCAAGCCUUCUGUCGCGCUUUGUUUUGAGCAGGAAAGUUUGCGAUAGGUAACUUUUUAUCAUAAGCUUUUACUUCAUGCGUAGACAUACAUUUAUUUACCAAAGCCAUUAACACAUUCUUUUCGGCUUCUGAUUUGUUUAAAUAAUUUAAAUUUAUUUAUUUCCGGAGGUCUUGUGUACAUAUAAAAAUAUAAGUGUCUUUAAAAAACAGCAGUAUAGUUGACAGUGUAUUUUGGAUACUGAUCCAUGUCACUUUAUAAAGAGCUGACAUAUUACUUGUUUGCUUAUCCUUUUUGGUGAGUGCACAGUAUUCCAUUUUAAUGUUUUAUAAGUGUGUUAGCUUUCCACGACAAAGUACCUGAGAAAACAGCUUAAAGGAAGGAAAGACUUAUUUUGGUUUAUGAUUUCAGUGCAUGGCUGGUUGUACCCAUUGCUUUUAGUCCUGCGGCAGGGAGGAAACAUCGUGGCAGAAUGGUAUGUCCAGGGAAAGCUCCUCGCCUCAUGAAAGCAGACAGAGAGAGAGAGAGAGAGGAAGAAGAGGAAGAUGAAGAAAGAGGAGGAAGGGGAGGAGGAGGGAGGGAGGGAGCACCAACCUGGACUGGUGGAUUUCCUCCUUCCAGUUUUGCUUCUUUGGGGCCCACCUUAUGGGAACGAUGCUGCUCAUAUUUGGAGUGGGCUCUGCCCUCGGUUUGCCGCUCGCAGUGCCCAUCAUCUUUGGAAACACCCCAGGUGCUCUCAGGCUAACCCAACCCACCGUCAGUAGGAAUCACCGUAAGUUGAUGAACCCAGUAUCUUGGCAGUGAACAUCCUGGUUUCUUUUUUAUUCUUCUAUCGUGGCAGUGAAUAUGCUAGGACAUUUGUCUUCUCAUGUGCUUUAACGCACUAAAGGAGACAUUUUUAGAAGUGGAAUUACUGAGUAGAAGAAGAGGCACAUUUUUGUAGGAGAGUGUUUGUUUGUUUGCCUCCUCAUCAAAAGGACAUGCUGUUAUCCUGCAUCUUUGGCAGUCUGAUUGGUGAAAAUUACACCUCCACCGAGCUUUAAUUUUAAUAUCUCUUAUUACAUAGAAGAGGUACAUUAUUAUUUAAAUCAUCAGAAAAUUAAUGAAGCACAGAUGUAAGCUCAAGGAGGUUAAGUGUCACAGCACCAUGUGCCUCAUAAGGAAAGGCAGCUAGGACAUGACUUCCCGAGCUUUCUCCUUUGUCACCACACCACCUUGCCAAACAUAGCAUCAGAUGCAGGACUGAGCGACACAGUGAAAGGGUUAUGUUUCCAGAAAGUUUUCCUCCAAAGAUCAGUAACUGUCAAAAAACCAAAACAAAAUGGAAAAAAUAAACCUUUUUUGUAGUACUAGGGAUUUAAUCCAGGGACAUCCCACUGAAAUACAUCCCCAACCCUUUAUUUCUGUUUUCAUUUUGAGACAGGAUCUUCCUAAGUCCCUAAAUUGCCUGGCCUGGGCUUGAACUUGCAGUCCUCCUGCCUCAGCCUCACAGAGUGCUGAGAUUACAAAUAUGUACCACAAUACCUGACUAAAAAUACUUUUUGAAAAAGGCAAAUAGAAUUCGUUACUAAAAUGACAAAUCAAUUGAUUCUGAAAAAUCCUUCCAAGUUACUUUUGAAAUCUUAGAAAUCUCUGCUAGAGAUACUUCAGAAAAAAAUUUUUUUCAAAAAAUUGUGUGUUAACCAUCAUGUAUGUUCUGUACUUCUGUUAGGAAUGAAAUUAUCCUUUUAUCGAUAGACCAUAUCUGAAACAAAACUUUGCUUUUUCACACCAACUUCUCACUCUGAAAUAUGUUUCCUCUCCAAAGCCAACUUCAGAUUUGGAGCCCUGGAUUCUUUUACGGGACCUUGGGGCCCUGUGUCUUCCCAGCAGCCUGCAGUGCAUAUGCACCAUCAUUGAUAGUGUGAGGUGUCUGGUGCAGGCUUGUCCCGGGACCCAGGUGGUCCAGCCCUGCAGCUGUCCCAUCAGUUUGCUGUUAGGAGAGGGGUUAAUUGCCCUGCUCAUCUUCUAUCUAGGAUCUAGGUUUGGGGCUAUGGGAGAGACAGAGCCACCUGGAAAGCAGAGUUUUCUUAGGGCCCUGGACAGAACAGUUUGUGACAGUGUGAUGACCACUAAACACAUCAACAACGUGAUGGAAUGAAGCAACGUUUUGGAAUAGGAGCUACAUCCUUCCUGAAUUAUGAAUUUUUUGGCUAUUAUCCUUCAUUUGUUCCACAAAUCUUGAGCAUAUGUGAGUGUGUCAGGAACUGUUCCUGGAUUCCACAGGUCCAGUCAUGAAUGCAACAAGGGAAAAUACCUGCACAUAGGGUCAUUCUAUCCAAUGGGCCACAUAACUGUCUUUUCUUGUUCUCCUGGUGAAUCUCAGAACUGCGUGAUUCCUCUUAUAAAAGUUGAGCUCAUUUUUGGAAAGCUGCAGAUGCUCUCGGGCUCAGCCUUAUCUCUUCUCCAUAAGCAAAAGAAGUGAACAGAAUUCUUUCCUGAGACCUUCCAGGCCUGGAGAAGAAAAGUCUCAAACCCUGGAGACACAUCUGGGGGAAGUACAGGUGGUGGGUGGGGGAGUGCUCCUUUGAUAGCCGUUCAGCCCCUGUUCUGCUGCAGGCUUGUUGAAAUUGCUUAAGAGGAAGAGACAGCGAGAGAGAAACAAGUGCACAUAUACGUUUUUAAAGUAGCUUGCAACCAAGACAACACCAAUUAUUUAACCACAGUAAAGCAACCAGCAGCCAAACCACGCUGAUUAUUUAACCACAUAUCCAAGUGCUGAACACAGCCAUACCAGCCACGUUAAUUUAAUGUAAAUAUCCUCCAUAACUAGCCCGGCAUGGGGCAGGAGCUGCGGCAGGAACGGCUCCUCUCCUUCCCUUGUCUCAGCUCCAGAUGUCUGGGGCUGAGAAACUGGCUGCAGUCCAACCAAUAUUUUCCUUUUUUUGUGCCCUUUUACAGUUUUGUUUCUGUAAAAACUGAGUCAUUCAUCCUCGACUGAUCUACAGUCUCACGUAUGCACGCUUGCUCAGGGAGACAUUUCCCUUAGUGAAGUCUGCUCUUUUCCGUCUAUUCCCACCUUUCUGUUCAUUUCAGUCUCCUUCCUCACCUCAGUGCUUUCCAGUGCAUUUAAUUCCUACUCUAUCAUUUGUCUUUAAUCACUGUAUGUAAGUGGUAUGCUUAGGGAAUGUUUAUUAGGAAAGCAACUUUCUUCUUUGCUAUUUGCAAUGACACAAUUCACAAUAGGUUGAAAUUUACUAUAAAAUAGUCCCUUUCACUGAGAAAUGCCCAGCCUCAGGAAUCUUAUAAGUCCAGAUAGUCAGGUGUGAAACACGCAGUCCCACUCUUGCUGGCCACAGGUAUGGGAUCCGACUUGAGGUCAGCCAAUUAUUGAUGUCUGGCAUCUGAUCUUAUUCCUCCCUUUUGGGAUCUGAACCCAAGCAAUGCAGAGACUAAAAUGAAGAGUGGCAUAGAUUGGGGACUGGCUGACAGGGUGGGCUGGAUGGCAAGACAGCAAGCUUGGCUGGAGAGAAGAAUAGCUGAGGAGGACUCUGUGGUCUCCCCAAAUCAAGAGUGAAGCCACUGGCAACUGGAGACUUCCCUGAAGGAAGGAAGGAAGUGCUCACCUCCUGUCUGUGGUUUUGUUUAAUUUCCCGUGAAGGCCGUUUGUUUCAUGGUGUAAACCCAUAAAAUUGUUGCUGUAUCUUCAUAUUAAUUGCAAGUCAGCAGAUAACAGGGCAAGAUCAGGCUUUGGUGUCAAUUAUCUCCUCAAGGCCUAGCUUUUCUCUAGACAUGGAAUCAGUUUCAGUAUGAUGCUUCUGAAUAAAAUACGCCUCUUACAUUAUGUGUAAAGAGGUCUUGUAGACGUAGUACAAGUUUAAUGGGAACUUAAACUUUUGAAAGUGAGUCGUGGAGCUGCUAUAUAUUAAAAAAAAUUUCCAUGGUGCCGUUUAUGCCAAAUCAGCUCCUGCUAUAUCUCAACAAUGGCAGAACAUGAUAUUGGUGGACAGAAACUACUGCCUUUGGGAUAUUCAGUGCUAUAUUUUUGCUUCUCCAGUUCAAACUGACCAAAGUUUUAGUGGUGGGAAAUUAGAUAUCUCUUGGGGAGGCUAAGUUUGAGAUGUUCUUUGAACACCAAGUGUGCCGUUAAUCCUAAUAUGUCAAUUUUAUUGAGAAAUGCCCAGCAGAUUAGGAGAGUGCACUCCCGGGUGUGUCUGGGCAGGUAAUAGGGGUGGGGUUGGGCCUAUUGUACACUGUCUCUUACCUGUUCCUCUCUGUAAUUGUUCCCUGCUCUCUCCCAGCUGCCUUGAACUAAGUAGCUUUGCUCCACCAUGUCCUUCCACUGUGAGCUUCCUGCCUUAAAGCCUCUCCACCUGGUACUGGAUCUGCUGAAACCAUGAGCUAAAUCAAACCUUUCUUCCAUUAAAUUGUGGGUUUGGGGUUUUGUGUGUAAAGCAAUGGGAAAACUAAUAUGGACUCUACUUUUAUAGAUAUGGAGAUCAUAUCUGAGAUUGCAAAUAUCAAAAAGCACAUUAAUAGAAGGAUGUGACCUGUCAUAUCCAGUGUUGCUAAAAGAUCAACUAAGAUGAGGAGUGAGAAGUGACUGUUGGGCAGAACAAGAUUUUGUUUAUUAGUGACCAAAAAAUAAUGAAUAAAAUAAUGAGAUAAAACCCGAUUAUAGUGAAUUGAGAGAACUGAAUUGAGGAGAGGGUCCAAAAAGUAAAGACCAACUUUUGAAGGAGUUUUCACAGAAGUGAAAAGUCCCUCACUGAGGCUUCCCCAGGAGGUGCUGUUAUCCACGUAGGGGGUGAAACAGCCACAACUUGGACCCCAGCCGCCCCUCCCAUCGACUAAUUCAAUGGGCCUAUGAGAGUUCAUUAAACUUCCUGAGACUCUGGGUUCUUAGCCUGUAGAAUGGAGUUACGAUCAGGAAUUAUUAACUGAAGAAUUGGCCUUCAGCCUAUUAUAUACAUAUUAGCUAACUUAAACCACAGAAAAAAUCAUUAUUCAUUUACAUAAUACUGUACCUAUGAGUGUACACUUGGUGCCACAGUGAGCCACAGCCAGCUUUUAAAACAAAAUGCAUAUGCUUUUGUGUACUCUUUUGGUCAUUGCUGAUCUUCUGAGCACCGGACAUAGCACUGCCUUUUACGAGCCUGAGAGCCUCCCCACCCUAUGCAGAGGUCCCUUGGCUCAGCUGAGGCAGGAAAGUCCCUGCCCUCCACCAAGUACAUCUCAGACUUGAACCAAGCUCUGCUGGGUUGUUUCACAAAUGCAGAUUCCAGGGCCUCUCUAAGAUCUACAGGAGAAUACCCUUUGGGAUGUGAGCUGGAGAAUCUUCUCUUAGCACUGUCUCCAGUUAUUUUUUCUGCAUGUUGGCAUCAGCCAAGGAAAUUUGAAUGCUUGUAGAUGUUUCUGACCAGAUGAGCGACAAGAGAUUAGCAUUUUGAGAUUAAUCUGGUAGCAGUUAUUUGGACUGUAUAUGGGAGAAAGGCAGAAGUGCUGAUUAAGACAAGGCUGCAGCUGACCAGGAUGAAGACUGUUAUGACAUCAGGAGAGCAGUGAAUAGAGAACAAAGAGCAGGUGAAAAAGAGAGUGUUUAGUUUGAAAAUGACAAUAUUGAGUCAGGCAUAGUGGCCCUAGUGACUCAGGAGAUAGAUGCAGGAGCAUCACAAGUUCAAGGCCAGCCUGGGUGCCUCUGUGCCAAAAAAACCCAGUGGGGGUUGAGGGUGCUGCUCAGUGGAAGAGCACUUGCCCAGUGUGUUCACUUCUUACCACUGCAAACCAAAACAACAACACAGAAACGUUAGCAGUGUUCACCGACUGAGUGGAAAUAAUGAAUCCAGGAGGAAGAGAAGGUGCCUCUGGGGUCUGAGGCAGGUGCUGCCCCAGGCUUGUUUCUCUGCCCUCCACAUUCCAGGUGGAGCUUUAGUAGUUACAGUCCAAGUCUCGCAUCUCCAACAUGAGCUUGCGUUUUCAUGGCUCUCAGUCUUUCCCAUCUCAGCAAAUGACAACUCUCCUUUUGAUUUCUCAGAGCAGGGCUCCAAAGUGACUCCUGACUUCUCAAUUUCUCUCACAGUCCAAUAAGCAGAUUUUCAUCUUUGCUUUCUAAAUUGGUCAUCAGUCUUUCUGUUUUCCACCUCCAGCACCACCAUGGCCUCAUCAUUGGACAGGUCCCUAACUCAGCUCUUGCUCCUUGGAGUCUAUCCAAAUCAUGACACUCUCUGUUCACCUCCCUUCAGUGGUUCUCAAGAUCACUCCAAGUGACUGGGCGUGCAGAGAGUCCUAAAGGGUCUGGCCCUAACGAUCUCCUGGACCCCAUCUCCCCUCACAGCCUGCGAGUAUCCACUGCAGGUAUUCAGCCUGCCAAGCUGUCACCCUGUGCCUUGGCUCCUGCUCUUCCCUCUAGUAUUGGUGGAUCUGAACUUCUUCCUUUUGGCUCCUCUUCUCCAUCAGGCCUUCAGGUACUCAGUUAUUCUUGUCUUGAAUGUCAGUCUCCCAGAAAUCCACAAUAUGGACAGUUAUUGUCAUUACUAUUACAAAGAAGUCCCUGUCAAAUCUUCACAGACGUCUCCAAGGACUCCACACAUGAAAUAAUACAAUCACAUAGGUAGUUGUGACUCUGCCUUGUCCUGCUUCAUGUUUUUAAUUAGUCUGAAGCUGUUGGUAUAUCAUAUGUCUAUUUUUCUAUUAUCUGUCUCCUAGAAAAAGAAGAUAUCAUACAUUUGUCUGUUUUGUUUGGUACUGGAUCCCUGAGCCUUCAGCAGAGCAUGUAUGUGAGCAGAGACCCUCACAAAAUAUUUGUUGAGUAAAUUGCAGAACUGAUUUUUGAGGCAGCAGAGCCACUGGUAAUGAACAUGGGCUUCAUAUUUUGCCUCUGCCUGCUGUUCUAUAUUUAUUCUUGUACACAUUACUUGCACCUCCUGGCUCCAAUGUGGUGAUAAUAAGAGCAAUCUGUGGCUGUUUAAAUAUGGCUGAAAGUUCUUUGCCACCCCUUCCAAGGAGAAUGAGGUCUAUGUCCCUUGUUCCCCUUUGACUCUGAGCAGGCGUUUUCUUUCUUUGAUCAGUAAAAUAUAAUGGAAGUAAGACUCCCAAGGAUGAGCAUGCAAGGUAGCCAGUUUCUGCCUUGCUUACUGGAAACUUUGGUCUUAAGUUCACAGCUGCCGUGGAAGUAGUCCAAGUACUCUGGGGCCACCAUGCUGUGAGGUUCCCAAGCUGUGUGGAGAGGUUACACAUGGGUACUCCAGCCCUUAGUUCUAACUGAGCUGGGCCUUGACCAGCCAGAGACAAUUGGCCAGGUCGCUUCCUUCUUCCAGGUCUUCCCAAACAAGGCCUCAGAUAUAGAGUAGGAAGGAGCCAGCCCUGUCUGACUCCCUGUGUUGGGUACGGUUUCCUGCUUUGGACAAUCUGUGGGUAUAGUAAAACAGCUGAAUUUUUGUGGUACUAAGUUCAAAUGAGUUAGUUUGCAGCAAGAUAAAACUGGUACCUCACUUCAAGAACUGUUCUGAGAACUAAAGGAGUUAUUAUAUAUAAAAUGCUUACAGCCACAUAGUAACUACUAAGUAAACAUAGCCUACUGUCAUGAAAGUAAAACUGAUAAGGAUAGGGAAAUGUGAGGAAUCAUUUAAUAAAAACAUUCUUCUCCUUAAAAACAUUCCACCCUUAAAACUUAAUUUGAAACUCAUUGAUUGCAUUGUACUUCCUAAAAUCAGUUUGUUUCCUUAGGUAGAAACUGUACAAUGAGUUCUCUGGUAUGAUGACUUGAAAUCAGAUGCACCAAAGCUCUAGGAGCAGCAGAGUUUGUAAUGUGUGGCUGUAGUUAGGUCCUGCUCAGUUUGUGCUCCUCCAGGCACCUAGCAGCAGUGCAACACCCGAAGUCAGGGCUGCGUGAAUGUCUGAGUCACUCACUUGAUAAAUGAACUUGUGUUCAUUGUUAUAUAAACUCUUAAAAACAUUGCUUUAUUUAGUAUUUUCUUCAUUUUUGCCUUGAAAUUUGUAGUAUUUGCUGAAAAGUUGAUUGGUAAUCUCAUAAAACUUAAAUUAAUGUUUAUGGAAUACAUGGCUAGUAUUAUUAAGAACGUACAACAUAGCAUAAACAUGGAACUCUUGCACAAUCCUUUUCUGGACUUGUGCUUUUUUGAACUGAGUUCAAAUCUAAACUAAGGAAGGCCACACAGGGUGUUAAAACAAAAAAUAUACAGUUGGAAUGCACUGAAGCCCCUCAACCAGGGAGACAGGGAUUGAAGGAGGUAAUUUUUAAGAACCUGCUUUUUAUUCUGGUCACCUGGCAAGCCAGUCUAAGAAAACAUAUUGCACAAAUGUGAGUUUCAAGCCACACACAUUGUCUAGAUAGAAAAACAACUUCCAACAUCCCAUAGUGUUUUGCAAAUUAUUUGCUGAAUAUGUCAACAUACCCCCUGAAAGAAAAGCUGUUGCCUAGUUUUUGAGCUCUUCUCACGUGAAGAGUUCUCAAAUUUUGAAAUAAGAAAAUCCUUAAAAUAAUUACUUGAUUGUAAAUCACAUAUUUAGAUGGCCCUGGAAGAUUUGGUGCGAAUCACUACACAUGGCUAGUCCUACGGUGAGCCAGCCCUGUGCAGGAUAGUCCAUAGGAAAGAAGGAAACACCAGUAGAAGCCACGGAGAAGUUAAAGAAAAAGAACGUGAGGGAAGGGAAAUAUUUAGAUGAAAGAACUGAUAAAUGCUUUAUUAAUAAAUAUUAGCUUCAUUUGAAAUUAAUAGUCUUCAAAUUUUUACAACAAGGA